GACGAACGCUGGCGGCGUGCUUAACACAUGCAAGUCGAACGGAAAGGCCCGGCUUUCGUGGGGUGCUCGAGGGGCGAACGUGUGAGAAGCACGUGAGUAACCUGCCUGUUACGUUGUGAUAUCUGGAAUAAGCCGGGGAUACUACCUGAUAGGAGCGCCUGCACCAUGGGGGGGUUCGGACAGUUUCGGCUGUUGGGGUUGUACUGGGGGCUUAUCAGUUUGUGGGUGGGGUAGUGGCUUACCAAGGCUUCGACGGAUAGCCGGCCUGGGAGGGGGAACGGCGACAUUGGGACUGAGAUACGGACCAGACGCAUACGGGAGGCAGGAGUGGGGAAUAUUGCACAAUGGGCGGGAGCCUGAGGAAGCGACGCCGGGUGCGGGAUGACGGCCUUCGGGUGGGAAAGCGCUUUCGCCUGUGACGAAGCGUGAGUGACGGUAAUGGGUGAAGAAGCACCGGCUAACUACGUG
rnacentral:rRNA from 1 species